rnacentral:rRNA from 1 species
CCUACGGGUGGCAGCAGUGGGGGAUAUUGCACAAUGGGGGGAACCCUGAUGCAGCGACGCCGCGUGUGGGAAGACGGUCCUCUGGAUUGUAAACCACUGUCCCCAGGGACGAAAAUGACGGUACCUGAGUAAGAAGCACCGGCUAAAUACGUGCCAGCAGCCGCGGUAAUACGUAUGGUGCAAGCGUUAUCCGGAUUUACUGGGUGUAAAGGGAGCGCAGGCGGCACGGCAAGCCUGAUGUGAAAGCCCGCGGCCCAACCGCGGGACGGCAUUUGGAACUACCGGGCUGGAGUGCCGGAGAGGUAGGCGGAAUUCGUAGUGUAGCGGUGAAAUGCGUAGAUAUGAGGAGGAACACCAGUGGCGAAGGCGGCCUACUGGACGGUGACUGACGCUGAGGCUCGAAAGCGUGGGGAGCAAACAGGAUUAGAUACCCCAGUAGUC